UCAUUACCGAAUUGUCAACACGAGUUGUUGCUGGUCCUCAAACGGGGACAUGUGCACGCUCUGUUUACACAUCCACUCACACCUGUGCACCCUCCAUAGUUCUGCAGCCUGGGGGCUCUGUCUCCCCUGCCGUGGUUCUAUGUAUUUACACACACACACUGUAUUAAAGUCUCAUGGAAUGCAUACCGCGUUUAACGCAAUAUAAUACAACUUUCAGCAACGGAUCUCUUGGCUCUCGCAUCGAUGAAGAACGCAGCGAAAUGCGAUAAGUAAUGUGAAUUGCAGAAUUCAGUGAAUCAUCGAAUCUUUGAACGCACCUUGCGCCCUUUGGCUAUUCCGAAGGGCAUGCCUGUUUGAGUAUCAUGAACACCUCAACUCUCAUGGCUUUGCCAUGAUGAGCUUGGACUUUGGGGGUCUUGCUGGCCUGUGGGUCGGCUCCUCUCAAAUGAAUUAGCUUGCCAGUGUUUGGUGGCAUCACAGGUGUGAUAACUAUCUACGCUUGUGGUUUUCCACCAGGUAACCUUCAGCGAUGAAGGUUCGCUGGGGCUCAUAAAUACGUCUCUCCUCAGCGAGGACAGCUCUUUGAAUGUUUGAUCUC
rnacentral:misc_RNA from 1 species